GCGGCAGCGAGGCCGUCCACCUCGCCGCCAUUUUGCGCAGCGGGCGCUGAGGAGCAGCAGCCGCCGCGGCUGGAGCUGUUUUUUCGUCUCCGUCUCCUCUCUCCGGUACACCAUGUCGCGAGAUCGCUUCCGUAGCCGUGGCGGCGGUGGCGGUGGCUUUCAUCGGCGCGGCGGUGGUGGCGGCCGCGGCGGCCCCAACCACGAUUUUCGCUCUCCGCCGCCCGGCAUGGGCAUGGGACAGAACCGCGGCCCGAUGGCGGGCGGCCCGCAAGGCCCGGGCGGUCCGCCGGGAGGAGGGCCGAAGCCCGAACCACCGAAGCCGCCCACGUCCACCUCUGCUCCGCCUUCUUCAUCCUCUUCAGCCUCCGCCACCACGGCGGGACCCACCGGCAGCCAGGCGGGAGCGCCUCCAUCCUCUGCGCUUCCCGCGGGGCAGCAGCCACCGCAGCAGCCGCCGGUUUCGGCUCCCUCCUCGUCUCCCUCCGGUCCACAGCCGCAAUCCAAGCCUAGCCCCAGCCCCACGCCGGCCGGCGGCCCUAAGAAAGGACAAGGACAGUCUUCCGGCGGCGGCCCCAAGGGACCGGGCGGCCCGCAGCAGGGGCCGCAUAAGGGCGGCCCAGGGCAUCGCGGCGGACCGGGCGGAGAGCCGCGGGGCCGCGGGCAGCAGCAUCAGGGCCAGCAGAGCCUAGGGACACAGCAAGGUUCGGGAGAAAGAAGCGAGAAGCUGUCGGACGAGGGGUUUAAAGCGAACCUUUCUCUGCUGAGACGGCCCGGGGAGAAGACGUACACACAGCGCUGCCGGUUGUUUGUUGGGAAUUUGCCUGCGGAUAUCACAGAUGAAGACUUUAAAAGGCUGUUUGCCAAAUAUGGGGAGCCGGGAGAGGUUUUUAUCAACAAGGGAAAAGGCUUUGGAUUCAUUAAAUUGGAAUCUAGAGCUCUUGCAGAAAUCGCAAAGGCAGAGUUGGACGAUACCCCCAUGAGGGGCCGGCAGCUCCGUGUUCGCUUUGCCACUCACGCCGCUGCCCUGUCGGUGCGGAACCUCUCACCCUACGUGUCCAACGAGUUGCUCGAGGAAGCUUUCUCCCAGUUCGGUCCGGUGGAAAGAGCUGUUGUGAUUGUAGAUGAUCGAGGUAGAUCAACAGGAAAAGGCAUUGUUGAGUUUGCAUCAAAGCCAGCCGCAAGGAAAGCAUUUGAACGGUGUACUGAGGGGGUAUUUUUGUUGACAACUACUCCUAGGCCAGUUAUUGUGGAACCAUUGGAACAACUGGAUGAUGAAGAUGGUCUUCCAGAAAAGCUUGCUCAGAAGAAUCCGAUGUAUCAAAAGGAGAGAGAGACUCCUCCCCGUUUUGCUCAGCCUGGCAGUUUUGAAUUUGAAUAUUCGCAGAGAUGGAAAUCUUUAGAUGAAAUGGAAAAGCAGCAGAGAGAGCAAGUGGCAAAAAACAUGAAAGAUGCCAAGGACAAACUUGAAAGUGAGAUGGAAGAUGCUUAUCAUGAGCAUCAGGCAAACCUCUUGCGUCAAGACCUCAUGAGGCGUCAGGAGGAGCUGAGGCGUAUGGAAGAACUUCAUAAUCAGGAAAUGCAGAAACGCAAGGAAAUUCAGCUGAGGCAGGAGGAGGAGCGUCGCCGGCGGGAGGAGGAGAUGAUGAUCCGUCAGCGGGAAAUGGAAGAGCAGAUGAGAAGACAGAGGGAAGAGAAUUAUAGCAGAAUGGGUUACAUGGAUCCAAGGGAGCGAGACAUGAGAAUGGGUGGUGCAGCCACAAUGAACAUGGGAGAUCCUUAUGCUUCAGCAGCCCAGAAAUUCCCACCUCUGGGAGGUGGUGGCGGCAUAGGUUAUGAAGCUAAUCCGGGAGUUGGCCAAGCAGCCAUGAGUGGUUCUAUGAUGGGAAGUGACAUGCGUCCUGAACGCUUUGGGCAGGGAGGUGCGGGGCCCGUGGGUGGCCAGGGUCCUAGAGGAAUGGGGCCUGGAGCACCAGCAGGAUAUGGUAGAGGGAGAGAAGAAUAUGAAGCCCCAAACAAAAAGCCCCGAUUUUAGAUGUGACCUGUAGUUUCAUUCCAGUUUGUUUUUGUCUGUCUUGUUUAGACACCGACUUCUUAAUUCUUGCAUUUUAGUAAGAAAGCUACGUUUUUAUGGAUGUUAGAAACUUACUGACCUAAUAUUUGUAAGUGGUCUGUUUGGGCGAGUACAAUUUAAUUAUGUAAUGCAGUGUUUCAAAAUCAAAUUUAGCUGUUUUUUUGAUGUAUAACGUCCCUAACUUGAUGGCAGUGUACCUUGUGCCACUGAAUUCCCAAAGUGUACCAACCUUUUUUUUACUGUGCUUCAAAUAAAUAGAAAACUAAAUGUAGUAACUCUUCUUGCCAGUCAUGGUUAACGUGGGAAACAAGGCUGAAUACCACACCUGCCACAGUAACCUGAGAGCCUCGAGCUGAGGUCGGACCUAGACCAGGGUGUGGAACUGCAGUGAAGAGUGAGAUCUCUUCCAACAGUGCCUCUCUAGCCAAAGAUUGGGUGAAACUGUAGCCAAACUUUGCAGUAGGUGCAGAUUUUUUGAGCAGUAAUUGUGCUGCAAUAAGGAAGCAAAUGGAAAUCUUAAAAAUGCUGUAAGAUACAUUAUUUAAAGCUUCACUGCAAGCAGUGCAGUAAUGAAUUCCAUAUUUUAGCUAUGGGUGGUGGGAUGGUAGCACUUACCACCCUGGCAGUUGCUGCUUGGAAUCUUUUAAAGACUUUAAGCAGAAGACUAGCAAUGGUUAUUUUAAAAUAAAUUCAUAGAAUGCCUUGUAUUGGCUGACUUCCUCACUAAAGGAUUGUUAAUGUGAUAUUUAUAUGCUCUUAAGCUGUUUUGAGAUUACAGGAUCUGGCCUUGCUCCAUAUUGUACACCUGCCUGAAAGUGCUUGGCAAAAAGACCAGAAGUGUUACUUGAGUGAUUAAGGUUAACUUGCUUAUGUCCUCGUGCUAACAGUGGACUAAUCUGCCUAGUUGAGAAUACAAUCAUUUGUAUUAUGGGGACUGCAGGAACUAUUCUUAAAUUGUGUAGCUGGUGGGCAAAUUCUAAAAUCCUGUAUGUAAAAUACAGCAAUCAGCUUGCUUGCAUGAUGGUUAUCGCUCUUUUAUUAUUGAUGUUUGGAGAUAAUGCUUCAAAAGUAGUAUCUGAAUCUGGAGUUUUAAGAGUUAAUACUACACAGUGCAAAUAAACUCCCUUUAAGGUUCUUUUUGUAGAAGAUCUGAUGAAUUCGUUAGUUUGCUGUUCAUUUUAUUAAGCCCCAGAAAAAUUUCAAAGCAUUCUGGACUCAUUGGUAAAGUAGUUGCUUUGCUUAUUAUUACAAUGUACCAGGUAAACUGGGAAGGUUGACUUCCCAGGGUCAAAUACCUCAGUGUUAAUGCAGGAUACAUCAACCUGCUUGGCACAAAGUAGGUAAACUUAGCUUGGCUGUACCUUCACGUGAUCCCCAACCACCAGAGUUUUGUGAAUAGCUUUAACCUUUCCAAUAUCCUUCCAUUCCUUGUGCUAAGCAUUGGCUAAUUCUAAAUUUUCUGCUAAAUUUUCCGUGUGGUUAAAACUUAAGUGUCAGAUUGCAGGCUUUUAGGGUACAUAUGUCUGAUCCUUUUUGAAGUGUACUGUUACCCCUUAAAUGAUGGAAUAGCAAGUUGGGAAGGGCUGAUACAGAUAACACUGAUGUGGAACAUGAAGCUCACUAAAGAGUGAUUCAGCUUGUUUGGUGAAUGCUUUUUGUUUACCCAGAAAAGUUUGGGGGUUGAUAACAUGCUACAACAAUGAAUUGCUCUUGAGGAAAUAUCAAAUUGGCAGUUCCUAAACUGCAGACCAAGUAUUUGGAAGUUACUUGUAUUGGAUAGUUUACAAAUGAGCAGUAUCGAUGCAAUUUGCAUUAUUGAAGCGGUUUUAAACAAGAUCUUUUCUGGAGGGUGUUCAUGGGACACCCUCAAAAGGUGAAGGUGUCCGAGGUGGGGAAUUCUGAACGUGAACAUUAAAUUAAUUUUUUCAGUUUAUUUUUCAGAUUACAUGUCAUUCUUUAUUAAAAGAGAUGCUGGUGCAUAUCCUAAAGUAUGUUCUUUUGUAGUUAUGUAACUUGGAAGAGAAAAGGAUGCUGCUGUCUUUGUACCUUACAGAGCUUUUCUUUGGGUACCCCUGUUUUGUACGUAAGCUACUGUUGCUAGGUAUUAAAAUAGCUGAGCUGCAAAAUCAUUAGUAAAUAUAUUUGAAAGAUUUGGCAGUUUUCAAAACAUCUGAAAGUUUGCUUUAAUCUGGCUUUGUUGUAGCUGCAUAAGCAGAAUUUCUAAAACAAGUUCUGCUUUGAGUUGCAUGUACUAAACAGGCAUAUGAUGAACUAGCCAACUUCUUUUCAAGACCUUUUAAAGAUAGUGUCUUAAAAGCUGGCAAACAUGUCAACUUCAAAAUGUGAUAAAAGUUACUAAAUGUGGGAGGUGAGAAAGUGACAUUCCUUUGAUCUGUUCCUAUGAGGUUUUGGACUUCUUUCAUAAACUCAGAUUUAUAUAAUUAAAUCUUCUAAAAUCAGAAAAGUGCUUUGCUGGUCAGACCUGGUUUUGGAUGGUCUGGAUCACGUAACAUUUUUUCUACUGGACUUGGAGGACAUUGGCUGUUGCAAUUUAGCUUGUUUUAUCAAAAUUGAGCCCAUUUUGACACUUGGAGCUCUAAAAACUGCAGCAAGUAGAAACUGGUAUCGUUACACAUAUGUCUUCACACUUUCUCAGAAAUGAAUACAGAAUAAUCUUACCUUCUGGUGUAGAUACAUUACACUAAUCAUUUGUACAGCUGAUGAGAAAUUGAAAAUGCUUUUGAGAUUUUGUGGUAUUUUUGUGGUAGACAAAUUCAUGGCUUCUCCUUGGCAACCAUUUACUGUGGCAGCAAGUUUUUGCUGGAAUUUGAGACUGCAAUUUACACUUUAAACUAGUGGCCUGCUACAUAACUGCACUUAGCCAGCAUUUCUGCAGUUCAUAACUGUGAGGAACGUAGUACCACAAAUGGCAAUGGACAUUAGGACCCGGAUGUAGUAUUCCUGCUUGCUCCAAGAUUCUCAUUGCCGACUGCGUACAGGUGAAGAUGAAAGCUGAGUGACACUGGAGUGCUCAUCCAUGGGAAUUGAGGAGUCGAACAUGAGCACAUCCAGCACGGUACCCAGUGGUGUGUGGAGGGACCAAGGGAACAGGUGGACAAGUAAGUAGUUGGUGUCCUUACAGUGCUAUGAAGGAUUGGUAUCCCAUCAUCUUGUGCUGGGUUAUGUAAUUCCAGCCUGAAACGUGUGAUUAAUCUCAAUUUUAUGUAAAGUUUAUUCAUCUUGCUUUUGUACAGCCAAAAUGUAACCGUUGUCUGGGGCUUUUCAGCCCUGCAGCAGCAAAUAAAUUCUGUCCUUUUUGUGCUGCAGGUGGUCAAACAAGAAAUGACCAUGCCUGUGCUCAGGCUACAGUUGGUGAUUGUCAGCAUGGGAAAAGGAAAAUAGAGCAGCUGCUUCUCAGAUGUUAAUUCAACUAAACCUUGUUAAAAAGCUAUUUGCUGAAAUAUUUUAACAUUGAAUUAAAAAAAUAACCUGGUGUAUAAAUCAGCAUGUACAGGAGCACAGCAAAUAAACCAACUUAUAGAGCUGGAAUUAAUGACAUUUUCCCUCUAAUUUGCUACUAAACUACAAGGGGAUACUUCAGCUAUUUAAAAUCUUGUUUGAGGAGCAACAUGCUGAGUACCUUAACUUGGGAGUCACAGGUAAGUAACAGUAGACCUGUAAGGUGUGAAGCCUAUGGGAUUCAGUGGGUAAAUUCCUAUUGAAUCCUCUGUGGUUUGUCACUGCUGCUCCUUGCUGUGGGGUAGGAAAACACACAAAGCCAUAUCUGAUCUUAAAAGUAUAUGAAUUCUCUUAAUUUAAUCUCAAAUCUGAUGUGAAUACUUGAGAAUAUAUAGCAGGCACAUGGCCUGUGAUUCUGAAUGGUGAUUCUGUGUCAUGUAGUUUCUGCUGUUGUUUUCUGUGUUUCUUUCAGAAUCUUUCUAAUUGUGUGCUUUGCACUUGCAGAAAAAGAAGUCUGAGUGCAAUGAAGAGGAACAUAAAGCUUUUAAAAAUAAAAGACUUAAAUAUUUUUAUAAA